AUUGAACGCUGGCGGCAUGCCUUACACAUGCAAGUCGAACGGUAACGGGCCUUCGGGUGCCGACGAGUGGCGAACGGGUGAGUAAUACAUCGGAACGUGCCCGAUCGUGGGGGAUAACGAGGCGAAAGCUUUGCUAAUACCGCAUACGAUCUACGGAUGAAAGCAGGGGACCGCAAGGCCUUGCGCGGACGGAGCGGCCGAUGGCAGAUUAGGUAGUUGGUGGGAUAAAAGCUUACCAAGCCGACGAUCUGUAGCUGGUCUGAGAGGAUGAUCAGCCACACUGGGACUGAGACACGGCCCAGACUCCUACGGGAGGCAGCAGUGGGGAUUUUUGGACAAUGGGCGCAAGCCUGAUCCAGCCAUGCCGCGUGCAGGAUGAAGGCCUUCGGGUUGUAAACUGCUUUUGUACGGAACGAAAAGCCUUCUUUUAAUACAGGAGGGUCAUGACGGUACCGUAAGAAUAAGCACCGGCUAACUACGUG
rnacentral:rRNA from 1 species